CUCGGUCGUGUCAGCUUGAUUCGCCUGCCAUUUGUCAGCGAUGUCAAGCGCAGGAUGUUUCAUCAGCCCAGACAGAGCAGGAGAGUGGAAUAAGAGCUUUAUGCGCUGAGGAGUGACGGACGUGGAGCGACGCUUCCUCAGAGAGGGCUUUCUUUGUUAUACAGUAUCUGCGAUUUCAUCCAGAGAUAUUAUCCCUGAAAGCUUAUGGAGGGAUCUCACAAAACAGGUCCAAAGAGGGGUGGAUGGAUGGAAAGAUGGAUAGAAGGAGAGCUGCCACAAGAGAGAGAUAAAGCUAUCUUUCCCUCUCCAUAAUUAACCAGGUUUCGGUAACAAGCCUUUGGGCUUUACUGUUGCCAUGGUGACCUCCCAUCCGCAGGUUUUUCAUCUGAGCCUCUGACAGUGUGUGGACUCUCUCCAUCUCAGCCGAUCACUCCCAUUUGAUUUGAACAAAUUCCCGCUUCUCUCCAUAUCUCCACACACACACACACACACACUCAAAGCCCCUCAGAGCACUUACUGCUUCCAGACACAUCAGUUUUGAGAGUUGGGCCUGAGAUCAGGCAGCUUUACUAACAUCCCUUCAUAUUACCAGCAGUCUGGGUUCCCUAUAUUAACGUCAUUUACGGCAGACACAAAGGGGGAGGGUGGAGGAGCACAAGAGUGGGUGAGAGUCCAGUUGACUUGCAGAAACUGAGACCAGUGCAAAGGCUAAUUCGGAUAUCUUAUAAGGGUGGACUGAGCUCUUAAGACUAGGCAUACAUAAUUCACCAUUACGGCAGAUGAUGUGACAUGUUUUGCACUAUUGGAUUUGGAGAUUUUCUGGAGUUGCUUGCAAGUUUCUCCAUGACCAUGCAUGAUCUCUGGAGCUCAGAGUGACCAUCAGCUUCUUGAUCACCUCUCUUACCAAAGCCAUUCUUCCCUGAUUGCUCAGUUUGGCCAGACUUCAAAUUCUAGGAAGAGUUCUAGUUGUUUCAAACAUCUUCCAUUAAAGGAGGCCACUGUGCUCUUGGGAACCUUAAUUAUACAGCCUUCCCCAAACCUGUACCUCAACACAAAGCAGGAGAAAUUGAAUGCACCUGAGCUAGUCUGGUAGCAAAGGCACUGAAUACUGAAUACUAGUUUUUUUCUUUGUCAUUAUGGGGUGUGAAGUGUAGAGUGAUGUGAUAAGAAAGUAAUUGACAGCGUUUAGCAUAACGCUGCAGCAAAACAUUGGGAAAACACUUUGUGAAUGCAGUAUAGAAGAUCUAGUGUAAAAUUAAUAUUUCUAUAUUCUAAAUAUAGAAGUAAUAUUUAUAGUGUUCUCUUGA
ensembl:lncRNA